GAUAGACACUAUUUUUCUUUCAGAGAAGAUGAUGAAGGAUUUCAAGCACCUUGGUGGGGAGACCCCGAUGUUUCUGAGUGACGACCUGACGAAGAUCGAGAAGGGUACCAAGGUCAGGUUCAAGGUUCUUGGGAUGAAGUGGCUUGAGCAUGAUAGGGAGUUUCAGAUGCUGGGGACCUUGGCGUCGGACUUUCUAGGACCGUUGCAGUAAGGAGCUGGGUUGGCGUUGGUAACUUCGUUCAUCAGUUUAGUGUUGUUGGGGACUAGUGUAUGUCUUUCUAUUUUG
rnacentral:misc_RNA from 1 species